rnacentral:rRNA from 1 species
AGUGAACGCUGGCGGUAGGCCUAACACAUGCAAGUCGAACGGCAGCACAGUAAGAGCUUGCUCUUACGGGUGGCGAGUGGCGGACGGGUGAGGAAUACAUCGGAAUCUACUUUUUCGUGGGGGAUAACGUAGGGAAACUUACGCUAAUACCGCAUACGACCUACGGGUGAAAGCAGGGGAUCUUCGGACCUUGCGCGAUUGAAUGAGCCGAUGUCGGAUUAGCUAGUUGGCGGGGUAAAGGCCCACCAAGGCGACGAUCCGUAGCUGGUCUGAGAGGAUGAUCAGCCACACUGGAACGGAGACACGGUCCAGACUCCUACGGGAGGCAGCAGUGGGGAAUAUUGGACAAUGGGCGCAAGCCUGAUCCAGCCAUACCGCGUGGGGGAAGAAGGCCUUCGGGUUGUAAAGCCCUUUUGUUGGGAAAGAAAAGCAGCAGGUUAAUACCCCGCUGUUCUGACGGUACCCAAAGAAUAAGCACCGGCUAACUUCGUG